rnacentral:rRNA from 1 species
GACGAACCGUGGCGAACGUUGUUCGGAAUCACUGGCUUAAAGGGCGCGUAGCGGCUUGCCAAGUCGGGGGUGAAAUCCGGCAGCUUAAACCUGUCGAAGUGCCUUCGAUACUGGCGAGCUCGAGGGAGUGAGGGUCGUGUGGAAACUGCGUGGUGGAGCGGUGAAAUGCGUUGAUAUACAGCAGGAACGCCGGUGGCGAAAGCGACGGACUGGACCUCUUCUGACGCUGAGGCGCGAAAAGCCAGGGGAGGCAAACGGG